GAACGCUAGCGGCAGGCUUAACACAUGCAAGUCGAGGGGCAGCAUAAUGGAUAGCAAUAUCUAUGGUGGCGACCGGCGCACGGGUGAGUAACACGUAAGCAACCUGCCUAUCAGAGGGGAACAACAGUUAGAAAUGACUGCUAAUACCGCAUAUGCCUUGAGUAUCACAUGGUACAAAAGGGAAAGGAGCAAUCCGCUGAUAGAUGGGCUUGCGUCUGAUUAGCUAGUUGGUGAGGUAACGGCCCACCAAGGCGACGAUCGGUAGCCGGACUGAGAGGUUGAACGGCCACAUUGGGACUGAGACACGGCCCAGACUCCUACGGGAGGCAGCAGUGGGGAAUAUUGCACAAUGGGGGAAACCCUGAUGCAGCGACGCCGCGUGGAGGAAGAAGGUCUUCGGAUUGUAAACUCCUGUUGUUGAGGAAGAUAAUGACGGUACUCAACAAGGAAGUGACGGCUAACUACGUG
rnacentral:rRNA from 1 species